GGCCUCCUUGUGCUUACCACAGGCUGUGUUCUUACAUAGACUAUAUAAGGAGAGGAGGCAGAAUGUACUGCAUGUACAGCUCAGCCUAGGCCAUUGUGCCUGGUCUGUAUUGUGAAUGGGGAGACAUGG
ensembl:snoRNA